AUCGGCCGACAUACCACCCUGAAUGCUCCAGAUCUUGUCUGAUGUUGAAAGCUAAGCAGGGUCGGGCCUAGUUAGAUGGGAGACCGCCUGGGAAUACCAGGUGCUGUAGGCU
ensembl:rRNA 5S_rRNA 5S ribosomal RNA